rnacentral:tRNA from 1 species
AUGGAUCCAAAGCGUUUAAACUGCGAAACGAGGAACUCUGUUCCGCACCGAGUUAAGCUUUUUAGUCGAAAAUCGUUUCGCGUGUCGCAUUUGCAUUUUAGGCCAUUCUCGAAACUAGUGCCACCGCAUUUUGUCGUGUCUGCCAUGCCGGUGUCAUCAUUUUUGCAUAGCUGUGAUUACCUCACCACUUCCAACUAACGGCUUUACACGUAGAACUAGGAACAGGCAAGCAUUUUGUAGUAGCCAUGGCUACGUUUGAUUUUGAAAACAACCAAAAUAUGUCAGAGAAAAUAUGCUAUUCUAAUUUGGAUUAGAGCAGACCCUGGUUAUCAGUUAUAAUUUCUUCUGCAUUCGGCUGUCUGCAGAUGGAUGCCGAAAUGACUAAGACCUUUCAUGAUGUCAGCCUAAGAUGCUAAAAACCGGGAAAGAGUCACGUGAAACUAGACACGACAGAAGGAAAAAAAAAAAAAGACGAUGGAUACAUAAAAAUAUUCUUAUCAGCUCUGAUCUAAAUGUCGACGAACCUUCAACGCAAACAAAUCAGAUCGUUAAAUAAAGCAAAUUUCUUUGUUUAGAAGGGUUUUGCCUUUAGUUUCCGGCAAGAGGAAAUAAACGAAUGCGAUGCUCGUUACUGUGCAGCCGGCGAAGAUGAAAAAUGUCACAUCGUUGCCCAAAUGGAUCAGCAUGUCGGGGAAGAAACGGACAAUCGCCAAGGUGACAAACAAAUUGAAAGAAGACGACAACGUUCCCAACAUGGUCCUAUACUGCGACGGGAACAUUUCGCCCAUGAUGAUCAAAGGGACGUUGCUCAUGCCGCCGGAGUAGGCGACAAAGAAAACGAUGAGGGAAACGAGCGGAACCCAGCCGAGAAGUUCCGUGGCCGUAGCUUCACCCCAAAUCCGCUGGAAGUAGAAGAAUGUUCCCAUGGAUGUCAGGGAGAUGGAUGUGACGGCAGCCGAACUCAACAGGAGAAUCCGUCGACCGUAGCGAUCCACCAGGAAUCCGGAAGCGAUGGUGAAGACCAGUUGAACACCACCGACGAUGAUGGUGGCGUAGCGACUCUCGAUGCUGCUUCCGGCCGACUGGAAGAUGCUGACGGUGUAAAAUACCAUGGCGUUGAUGCCGGUGGCUUGCUGGAAGAACAUGAUGCCCAGUGAAAUGCCGAACGGCUUUAAAACAGGAGCCGUCAUCAAAUCUGCGAAGCGGACGGAUCCUUUGCCGCUGUCCGUUUUCUCGUGGUGUUCCUUCAUCCGCCGCAUUUCCGCGUCCACUUGUUGAAGAGCUUGACGUCCCUCGUCUUCCAUUCCGUGAGUGAGCAGCCAAAUGGGAGUUUCGGGCAUGAAACAAGUCAAGAGCAGAAAGACGACGGGCAGAGCGCUGAAAAUGAAAGAUAAAGUGUCCCAUUCGACAAAGGCUCCGAUGAUGUAAGCCACCCAAAUUCCGAGAGCCAAAGAAGAGGCUGUUAUGGAACCCAACCGUCCGCGUAUGUUCGGUGACGAACAUUCGCUCACCUUAUCGUUCACAAGAUUCAACGGCCGGGGUCGUGCAUCCGACGGCGAGUCCUUGCAGUAUACGGCCAACGUACAACAUGGCUUUGUGCUUGCCGAAACAGGUGAGCCCCACGGUGAGAAAACCGAAUAUGUAAAGAAGAAAAUGACCAACCAGUGCUUUCUUACGACCGAAAUAUUGCAUCGGAAUGCUCACUACCAGAGCCCCAAAGAAAGAUCCACACAUGGGAACAGCAGCUAUACAGAAAGCGUCCUGUUGAGUGAUGGCAAUCCAGGAGAGCCCCAUCCUCUGGAUGUGCCCAUGCAAAAGUAACCCCAUGACCCGACCACGGCCGCCAUCAACUGCCACAUACAAUCAUUUUGGUAAAUGUAAUUUAUCAUUUUCUAUUGAAUGAACCCAUUGUUGGGCAAUUGCAAAAAUGUACAGUACCUGGGGUAAGACUUUGUGGGGGUUCUUCAUCAAACUCUGUUUCACCAUUUUCUUGCUUUUUGUUGGCGUAAUGAGUUUUUAAAAAAAAGCAGAAAAAAGCUCACUGAUGUAGUCAAUCGAAGGGCUUGUCGAAUCGCCUUGUCCGUUUGGCAACAGCUGUGGAGCUCGUGUGAUGACCGGAGAAGAUCCAGGCACAAAUAAUCGGAUGAUUGUGGAGAAUUCGUAGGGCGAACGCUUUCAUUUUAUAGGCAGCGUGGCUGCAAAUCAUUCUAGGAAAUUUAAGAUUCUUGAAAGGUUUGUUCUGUAUUUAAUGCUGGAUGUCGCAACGGUUUGCUGUUGGUGACUAUUAUGUUUUAGUUUGAGGGCUCGGUACCGUGAAGAAUACUGAUGCCAAUGGACUUUUUAACCUGAUUGAUAGGGCGCACGCGACUAGACAAUUAUAGUUAGUUGUUUAUUUACAAUUUCUAUCUUUGGGAAAACCUACCCACCACAAAAUGAUGGAUCUUGCUGAAAUAUUUGCGUUUGGCCGAUUUGUGACUGACUUUUUUUUUUUUUUUUAAAUUUAUCUCGUGAUCUUGAAAAGAUUAAAAUGUGAAUCCGUAGUCCACCGGCACGUAUACAUUGUUGCCCUCUGUGUAUCAACGCGUUUUUCCGGGCAGUAUUUUUGUUUUCGUUACGUUGCGCUGAGAUUUGCUGGGCAUGGAUCGAAGACCUGCACGUCGGUUUUUGCUUGAUGUGUUUUUGUAACAAGGUAGAGUGUUGCAAGAACUAGGAAUUCACAUUAGGGCAAAGCAUAACGGCUUGGUUGUCGCCUCUUUUUUCAGAAAGACGGUUUGUUAACUUGCUUUUAAUGUCAUAUUUGAUAUUAAUUUUAAGAAGUCUAGUAAAUAUGUUACCAGAUGGCGAUUCUAAACAUCCUCAUGAUCAAUGGAAUCUAUCUGUCGUGAGAUCAAUGGAUUUAGAAUUAUCUAAUCAAAAUCUCUUUCUACGUCGGUAAAAUCUAUUGCCCCAUAGAUUCCAGGAGGGCUCUAGUGUAAAGAUGUGCUACUGUCCCGUGGAUACCAGGUAGCGCCGAUGUGGUAAUUGUGUUAUACCUAUUAAUCUGGAAGGUAAAAUUGCUGGAUUAACGUGAAAAGCAAUUAUUUAUUAAAAAUCCGCGUUAGAUUUUGAUAGUUCCGUGUGAUUUUUGUCGAAUUUCAAGAGAUGUUAUUUUUUUCAGAUUUUGACAAAAGUGGGAAGGCUAUACCCUUCCCACUUUUUCAUUUUUGGCCAAAAUUUAAAUUUUUAUUAAAAUACUUGAUUUUGAUUCAAAAUCGAAUAAAAAUCGCGAAAAUCAAGUUUAUUAUUCCAGUGGUCCUAUAGUUUUUGAGCUAAACGUAAAAAAAAAAACUAAACAAAAAUAUAAUUGAACAGCGUAUGUUUUUGUAUAUUAAAAAAACUGCUCGUUUAACGAAAAAACCAGCAACUUAUUCGAAAUCAGCGUUCAACUUUGAUUCCGCAGUGGGAUUUUUGUCGUAUGUCGAUUGGCAAAAAAAAAAGUGGAUAGGAGACUGCUUUCGCAAUUUGGUCAAAAUCUGAAGAAAAGAAAAGAAAGACAUUUGUUGACAUUCGGCAAUGGCAAUGGCAAUACCGAAAUCGAACGCUGAUUUCGAUUAAGUUAUAGGUUUUCCCAUUAAACGAGCGAUUUUACCUUUCAAAUUAACUGGUACAGCACAAUCACCACUCCAGCGCCAUCUAGUAUCCGCGGAGCAAAAGCAAGUUUUGGCACUGGUACGCGUGUACCGCACCAGAGCUCCGUGGACUCCAGUAUUAGGUGUGACCUCCUUUUGACCUUUGUCGUCUGGUGGCCAUCUUGAAUUCUUGAUGCAUUACAAACUCGAGUGCAGGGCUUUGUGCAGUAUAUGUAGAAAAUCUAAUAAAAAUGUCCUCCAAUCCAAAUACAUCUCGAUAUUUUUUAGAAAAUGAGGGGUAUUCUUCUUGUUGACGUUUGGAAAUGUUUGGCUACUUUCUUUAAAGGAAGACAGUGCAGGUGAAUCAUCAAACUCUUGUGGCAAUUUUGACAACAACACCAGUCAGGUCAAGUUGGCAUAGCUCGAUUAGGACCUGCAGCUGGAAAUGGCAAUCGCCUUCGCCUGGAGACUCCCGAUCAGCGCCUUCCAGCCCAAAUGAAGUGGCGUGCCGUCAAAUUUUCCCAGAAAGACAUUGAAGAGAUUUUGCUUCAUCUUUAAAUGAAGAUAACAGUUAAGAAUUUGAUGGAUGUUUGUUGGAACUGGCGGAGAGUUCAAUUGACUUAACCAACAGGACCCCAGAUUUCCUAGUCAGAGUUCCAAGGCAGUUCUGUUGGCUUAAAAUGUUCAGCUGGAAGCGAACGUGUCUCGUCGGGAGUCAUUGGAACUCAAAAAUAUAAUAAAACCAGGGAGAGACUAAUGUGAUUCAACUGUAUUGAGCAUCACAGCGAGAAAACGAGCGUCUAAAUUCCCCUGCAAUACGUGCGACCUUAUCCAGAAGGCGACAGCAGGAUCGCGCAAUUCGUCAAGGAUAAUGCCAACCUCCUGUGCGGAUUUACGUAAAAAUCGGAUCCGGUGUUUGGAAUGGGAUUGGUUGCCUUGCCUCGACCAAAGAAGGUUUCAGUCGCCAGUUUUGGUUGCAUCGCAUUGACUGAUGCAUUGCUGAUGCUUCGGGACCAUUAACGUCAGCCUCUGUGGCCUAAUGGAUAAGGCACCGGCCUCCUAAGCCGGGGAUUGCGAGUUCGAGUCUCGCCAGAGGUACGGAUUGUAAUGCUAGCGAGCUGACAACCAAUACGUUUUCCUGAUUGAACAUCUUUUGGAAGCUGGUAAAGUGCUGGCUGGACCAGGUUUUGCACCCAAGCAGAACUUGUUGUGUGUCUUUCUUGAUGAGCUGGAGAGAACUCUGUUUUCCUACUUGAACACCUUUUGGAGUGUUUUCUUAACGCCUGGAAGUGGUUUCACCUCGGCCGUCCGGUUUACUCGUGUGGUUGUAUGGAACGGGACGGAAGCCGAUGCUGCGGAACACGGUACCACAUUUCUGCAGACGGGGACGGACUUCUUCACAGGAAUUUUAGGCUCCAGUUCCAAAAUCGGCCAUGUCAGAUACUCAGAAACAGCGGAGGAAUCGUGGCGAAUACGUUGAUCGGACAAAUGAACAACCGCCCGCCUUAACCAAAAUCUGGUGCUCGUUGAAAGACUGGCAGACACGUUUGGGACGGCGACUUUAGCGAUAAUCAUCGAAGAUGUUCUGGAAAGUGACGUCGCCCUCUCGACAAAUAAAAAGGAACAAUCGUUGGUGCAGAAACCAGAAGCAAGUCAAUCAAUUAGCGACCGUGUGCAACUUUAUACCAACAUAUUUGGAUGGCGUUGUGGACGGAUGCCAUGUAUUGCAAAAUUGCAACUGACAGAAAACAGUGGCAUUUGUGACGUGAUGUACAUAUACCAAUGUGAUAGUGACUGCCAGGUGACUUCUGGCAGGAAUGGCACGUGAAAGUAGCCAGCACUUUUGAUCGUCCAUCAUCGCCAAUUAGGAGACGUGGUAAAGUAUAUCGUAGUUAGCACUGCGUUAGUUUCGGAGAUUCAUGUUAAAGCAAUUACAUUUUGUACCAGGAAA